CUGACCCUGCCUAAACAUAGUGGAGCAAUGGACAUGGGGCACAAGCGCUACUCCCAACCCAAGGCUGGUAACAGCGGACACACUCCUGACCGGCAGGUACCCAAGCAUUUCACAGCGUGAAACACAAGGAAGCCAGCCGACCAAGCACAGCUGCAGGAAUGACCAAGCGACUGCCAACCACAUACACCUACAGUCGAUUUUACAUAUGCAGCCCCCCACAGAAAGCACUUAAAAUGACUAAGCUUACAUAUGUACCCAACUCGACAAGC